rnacentral:rRNA from 1 species
UACGUAGGGCGCAAGCGUUGUCCGGAAUUAUUGGGCGUAAAGAGCGUGUAGGCGGCUUUACAGGUCCGUUGUGAAAACUCGAGGCUCAACCUCGAGACGCCGGUGGAAACCGUAAGGCUAGAGUCCGGAAGAGGAGAGUGGAAUUCCUGGUGUAGCGGUGAAAUGCGCAGAUAUCAGGAAGAACACCCGUGGCUAAGGCGGCUCUCUAGUACGGUACUGACGCUGAGGAGCGAAAGCGUGGGGAGCGAACAGG